rnacentral:rRNA from 1 species
UACUGGGCGUAAAGAGCUCGUAGGUGGUUUGUCGCGUUGUUCGUGAAAUCUCACGGCUUAACUGUGAGCGUGCGGGCGAUACGGGCAGACUUGAGUACUGCAGGGGAGACUGGAAUUCCUGGUGUAGCGGUGGAAUGCGCAGAUAUCAGGAGGAACACCGGUGGCGAAGGCGGGUCUCUGGGCAGUAACUGACGCUGAGGAGCGAAAGCGUGGGGAGCGAACAGGAUUAGAUACCCUGGUAGUCCACGCCGUAAACGGUGGGUACUAGGUGUGGGUUUCCUUCCUUGGGAUCCGUGCCGUAGCUAACGCAUUAAGUACCCCGCCUGGGGAGUACGGCCGCAAGGCUAAAACUCAAAGAAAUUGACGGGGGCCCGCACAAGCGGCGGAGCAUGUGGAUUAAUUCGAUGCAACGCGAAGAACCUUACCUGGGUUUGACAUGCACAGGACGCCGGCAGAGAUGUCGGUUCCCUUGUGGCCUGUGUGCAGGUGGUGCAUGGCUGUCGUCAGCUCGUGUCGUGAGAUGUUGGGUUAAGUCCCGCAACGAGCGCAACCCUUGUCUCAUGUUGCCAGCGGGUAAUGCCGGGGACUCGUGAGAGACUGCCGGGGUCAACUCGGAGGAAGGUGGGGAUGACGUCAAGUCAUCAUGCCCCUUAUGUCCAGGGCUUCACACAUGCUACAAUGGCCGGUACAAAGGGCUGCGAUGCCGCGAGGUUAAGCGAAUCCUUUUAAAGCCGGUCUCAGUUCGGAUCGGGGUCUGCAACUCGACCCCGUGAAGUCGGAGUCGCUAGUAAUCGCAGAU